rnacentral:lncRNA from 1 species
UGGCGAGUGAAUGGUGUAUGGUGAUAACAAUGGUGAAAAUCUAAUUCUACUUUUGCUCUUUUAAGGGGAUACAUACCUUUCUUGCACUUUGAAGCUUUUUGAGGAGAAUGAGAUGCUCUAUAUUUUCUUUUUCUUUCCUCUCAGGUGGGUAUCUUGUACCCCUAAUUCUACUGUCAGACACUUGACCAUUUUUACCUCUCGUCUCACUUUUUCUUUUCUUCAAGGUUCCGGGCACUUGCCCCUUUUUAUUUCCUCGUAUCCUCUUUUUUUAGAGCACUCAUCUCCUGAAAUAAUAUAGCA